rnacentral:rRNA from 1 species
UUGUGCCUACGGGGGGCAGCAGUGAGGAAUAUUGGUCAAUGGCCGAGAGGCUGAACCAGCCAAGUCGCGUGAGGGAUGACGGCCCUACGGGUUGUAAACCUCUUUUGUCGGGGAGCAAGACCCGCCACGAGUGGCGGAGCGAGAGUACCCGAAGAAAAAGCAUCGGCUAACUCCGUGCCAGCAGCCGCGGUAAUACGGAGGAUGCGAGCGUUAUCCGGAUUUAUUGGGCGUAAAGCGAGCGCAGGCGGUUGCUUUGGGCUG